CCCGGACACAGCGCGAACCAGCCAGCGACCGACCGGAGUGACGUCGUCCGGCCACCGAUCGACGACUCAAGACCACCGACCUCUUCCUCUUGUCGUCGCCGUCACGCCUAUGGUCUUCGAUUGCCCAUGCACCGGACGGGGAGGGAGAAACGUCAGCGAGAAGGUCUGAGUCUCUCCGGCGAGUUCUGCAAUUUCCGGCCACCGUCG
rnacentral:lncRNA from 1 species